rnacentral:rRNA from 1 species
UACGAAGGGGGCUAGCGUUGCUCGGAAUCACUGGGCGUAAAGCGCGUGUAGGCGGUUGUCCAAGUUGGAUGUGAAAGCCUUGAGCUUAACUCAAGAAAUGCAUUCAGGACUGGAUGACUAGAGGACCGGAGAGGAUAGUGGAAUUCCCAGUGUAGUGGUGAAAUACGUAGAGAUUGGGAAGAACACCAGUGGCGAAGGCGGCUAUCUGGACGGUUUCUGACGCUAGAGCGAAACGUGGGGAGCAAACAGG